rnacentral:sRNA from 1 species
GCCAGGUGUGGUGGUACACACCUGUAAUUCCAGCUACUUGGGAGGCUGAGGCAGGAGGAUCACAAGUUCAAGGCCUAUCUCAGCAACUUAUCGAGACCCUGUCUCAA